rnacentral:rRNA from 1 species
GAACGGAUCCGACGGUCAGGGACGAAGCCUAGGGGCACGAACCGGAUUAGAUACCCGGGUAGUCCUAGGUGUAAACGCUGUGGACUUGAUGUUGGGGACGCUCCGAGCGUUCUCAGUGUCGAAGCGAAGGUGAUAAGUCCACUGCCUGGGGAGUACGGUCGCAAGGCUGAAACUUAAAGGAAUUGGCGGGGGAGCACCGCAACCUGAGGAUUGUGCGGUUUAAUUGGAUUCAACGCCGGAAAACUCACCAUGACCGACGGACAUAUGAAAGCCAGUGUAACGAGCUUGCUGGAUUGUUCGAGAGGUAUUGCAUGGCCGCCGUCAGUUCGUACCGCAAGGCGUUCUGUUAAGUCAGAUAACGAACGAGACCCUCAUCCCUAUUUGCCAAGGUCUGUCCGCAGAUCACGGGACUAUAGGGAGACCGCUGGCGCGAAGUCAGAGGAAGGCGAGGGCAACGGUAGGUCAGUAUGAUCCGAAUGUCAUGGGCUACACGCGCAAUACAAAGGACGGGACAAUGGGCUGCUACUCCGAGAGGAAGAAGCUAUCCCGAAACCCGUUCGUAGUUCGGAUUGGGGGCUGUAACCCGCCCCCAUGAAGCUGGAUUAGGUAGUAAUCGCGUCUCAAAAAGGCGCGGUGAAUAUGCCCCUGCUCCUUGCACACACCGCCCGUCAAACCAUCUUAGUU